rnacentral:lncRNA from 1 species
CUAUUCUUGAGCUGAAUUUGGCGGAGGUAUUGUUGACUUGUUUAUCUUGGAUUUGUACGGUUGGAUUAGUCUCUGGAUGCCGGAAUCCUUGUGAGCUGAAGUCGUUUGGUUGCUGCCGGUUUUGAAGCUUUGUGUUGCUCUCUUGUUGUUGUUGUUUGUGUUGGAGAUAGCUCUUUGAAGCUAAUGUCUCUGUUCUGUUCUGGUUGUUGAACAGGGAGGACGUGGU